UGGGGCUCCGCCGGGCGAGACACGGGGGCCCCUGCCCGCGGCCGGCGGCCUCCCCCCACCCGAGGGAGGCCCGCGCCGCAGGGAGGGGGCGGCGACCCCCCCGAGGGGAGACCCGUCGGGGAAGAGACCCUGAGGGGAGGGCUGAAGAAGGGGCGCUGAGCUUCUAGGCCGGGGCUACCUUGGCGGAGAGGGCGGACGGGGUCCCGCCCUCCCCAUCUGCCUGGACUCCCUGCGCCCUCCUCCUGCCCGAACCCCAGGGUGUGUGAGUAUGAAGAAAAAGUGUAUCUAUAGAAUCUCUAGGGAAGCCGAGGUGGCUCUGGCGCAGGUCGUGAUCCCGGGGUCCCGGGAUCGAGUCCCACAUCGGGCUCUCCACAGGGGCCUGCUUCUCCCUCUGCCUGUGUCUCUGCCUCCCUCUCUGGGUCUCUCAUGAAUAAAAAAAUGAAAUCUAUAAGUAAAUGAAUGAAUGAAAGAUCUAUAAAUGAAUGAAUGAAUAAAUAAAUAAAAUCUCUAACAACAUAUAUACAAAAUCUAAUUAUGAAGAUAAAUUAAGAACAUAUUGUGAUAAGCUUAAACGUAAAAACCACAACCUACAGAGAGGUAAGAGGAAUGGUUGUGAUGCUGCUUAUUUACAUUUAAGUGGAACCUACAUCUGAUGCUCUUUAUUUGCGUCUGGUACUUUUUUUUUUUUAAGAUUUUAUUUAUUUAUUCUGGAGAGACACAGAGAGAGGCAGAGACACAGGCAGAGGGAGGAGAAGCAGGCUCCCUGCAGGGAGCCCGAUGUGGAACUCCAUUCGAUCCUGGAACUCCAGGAUCACCCCCAGAGCCAAAGUCAGACGCUCAACCCCUGAGCCACCCAGGCGUCUGGCGUCUGGUACUUUCUUUAAAAAAAAGUUUCUUCUCUCCAUGUAAAAGUAAUACAUACUUGGGGCGCCUGGCUGGCUCAGUCAGUGGAGCAUGCAGGUCUUGGGAUUGUGAUUUCAAGCUCCACCUUGGGAUUAGAGUUUACUUAAGAAAAAAAAUUAAAAAGUAAUAGAUACUAAUAACAAUUGGAAAAUACAGGGAAGUAGAACUUACUCGAAUUACCCAUAUAUUUUUUUAAAGAUUUAUUCAUUCAUUUACUUGGCAGAGAGAGUGAGAGAGCACAAGCAGGGGAGAAGGUUCCCUGGUGAGCAAGGAGCCUUCUAGGGUCUCAGUCCGAGGACCCUGGGAUCAUGACCUCUGUGGAAGGAUGACACUGAAUUGAGUGAGCCACCCAGAGAAAGAGCAAGAGUGGGUGGAGGGGCAGAGAGAGGAAGAAUCUCCAGCAGACUCUGCUGAGCUUGCAGCUGGAUGCAGGACUCAAUCUCAUGACCCCGAGAUCACCACUUGAGUGGAAACCAGGAGUCGGUAGCUUAACCAAUUGAACCACUCAGGUGCCCUUCCCCAAUCAAUUUUAGAACAUAUCAUUUAUUCAUACCCCGCCCCUGGCCAAGUCCCAUAUCCCCUUUCCCCACAGCCCUGGGCAACCACUAAUUUACUUGUCUCAUAGAUUUGCCUGUUCUAGACAUUUCAAGUAAAUGAACUGCAAUAUG